CCCCAAGUGUGUAAGAGGGAUUUUGCAGCGAGGCGGGUUCUUGUUGAUCUCAAAUCCUUUUGUGCACUAUUUCUAUGGACAAAAAGUAAUAAGGAGACAUCUGUGGCCUUCCCACAGUGGUGUUACUAGGGCUGAAUAGGCCUUUCCUCACAGCUGGCCACAGCGUGCUGCUCUGAACCUCCUUUGAGACUACCAGUUGUCAUCAGCCCCAUAUGGAUCCUGACAGCUGCCCACUGUGCUCCAUCAUCCAAGAAACCCUGACUCUGAACUGUGACAGCAGACCAUGGUAGAGC